ACACACACACACUGACGGUUAACUCUGCCCUCUGAGUCAUCGGAGUAAUGCCAUGUCAUCGGACUGUGUCAUGUGAUGAGUUGUCUGCAAUUGGUUGUUUAAAGGCGUCUAGGUGAAUAUGUGUUAGCACCAUGCCGAUGACUGAAAGAUAAUGGCUGAUUACGCUUUGCUGGACAUGUGUUUAAUGCUCUAGGGGUUGUCUCUUGGAUAUCUGCUCUCCAGCAGUAUUUUUGGGACAUGUUACACAGGAUUGGCCCCUGAGUUACCAGAGAGGGCGGAACCGUUCAGCCUGUCUGCGGAUCCGUUAGACACGAACAGGUCGCCGGGGGACACGUCCAGACCGGGAAUGCUGACCACCACCGAGCUCCGCCGCCGCUCCUGCAGCCUGGGGACCAAGACCACUGCAGGUCUCGGGGCUUGUUGCAGGAAAACGUGAGCGUCGCGGAGUCCGGGGGGAGAAGAGCUGGAGAGGGCUGUGAGCCGAGGAGGAGCACUCCUCCUGCAGCGCGCUGCUAUCCU